rnacentral:miRNA from 14 species
CAUAUACAUGUACACCCUAGUGAUCUUGUUAUUGUACACAUGUACACACACACACACAUACAUAUACAUAUAUAUGUAUGUGUGUGUGUGUGUGUGUGUAAACACCAAAUAAAAU